GAUGAACGCUGGCGGCGUGCCUAAUACAUGCAAGUCGAGCGAACGGACGAGAAGCUUGCUUCUCUGAUGUUAUCGGCGGACGGGUGAGUAACACGUGGAUAACCUACCUAUAAGACUGGGAUAACUUCGGGAAACCGGAGCUAAUACCGGAUAAUAUUUUGAACCGCAUGGUUCAAAAGUGAAAGACGGUCUUGCUGUCACUUAUAGAUGGAUCCGCGCUGCAUUAGCUAGUUGGUAAGGUAACGGCUUACCAAGGCAACGAUGCAUAGCCGACCUGAGAGGGUGAUCGGCCACACUGGAACUGAGACACGGUCCAGACUCCUACGGGAGGCAGCAGUAGGGAAUCUUCCGCAAUGGGCGAAAGCCUGACGGAGCAACGCCGCGUGAGUGAUGAAGGUCUUCGGAUCGUAAAACUGUGUUAUUAGGGAAGAACAUAUGUGUAAGUAACUGUGCACAUCUUGACGGUACCUAAUCAGAAAGCCACGGCUAACUACGUG
rnacentral:rRNA from 1 species